rnacentral:snRNA from 1 species
GUGUUCCCUUAGGGAUCACAUAUACCAAGACUGGGAAAAGGCAGAGAUUACGACUAUGACCCCUGGAAAAGGAUGACACAUGGAUCCCUGAAGCAGUCCACAUGCUG